rnacentral:lncRNA from 1 species
CUCUGGUGCCGGCAGCUGCAGCAUCAAGCUGAGCUUCGCUGUUUUCCCCGGUGGCCCUGCUGUCAGAAGGGAGUGUCCCCCUGGCAGCGUGGCUCGUAAGACUCAUACGGCUUGCUGUGAAGGGAAAGUACAUUUCUUCCGUUAAUCUCUCGGAGCUGACCACAGUUGCCCUUAUUUUCCUGGAUUCACUUUAUGGCCAAAAGCAUGGGAUGGCGAUUUCCUUCAGUCCUGGAGAUAAAUGAUGCUUUCUGGAGGCAGAGCACUGAGGAUUACUUUUACAGAAAUACAGCACACAAAGUAAAUCCUUGUUAG